CGAUUUUUGAUGGGAUUUUCCGGGUUCGCUGGGAUUUUCGCGUGAAGAAGACGAAGACGAGUAUGGGCAGUUGGGUCGGGGUACUUUUGACGCCACUUCUCCUUGGGAAGAAGACGUUGUUCUCACGUGGAGAAGAAGAAGAGGCGAAGUGGGGUCAUUGUAAGCUACUGCUGAACCAUUUUUUUCUCACUUGCUUUGCUUUUCGAGGUUUUUUCGGCCAGGAAGAGAACGCAGUGCUUAGUUUGGUG
rnacentral:misc_RNA from 1 species